rnacentral:rRNA from 1 species
UGCGACAAGCUGUGACGGGGAGGGAAGUUUAGUACCGAAGUUUCUGAUGUCACACUGCCGAGAAAAGCUUCUAGCAAGAUUUAUAGGACCCGUACCGCAAACCGACACAGGUAGUUGAGGAGAGAAUCCUAAGGUGAGCGAGCGAACUCUCGUUAAGGAACUCGGCAAAAUGACCCCGUAACUUCGGGAGAAGGGGUGCUGGUAGCAAUACCAGCCGCAGUGAAUAGGCCCAGGCGACUGUUUAUCAAAAACACAGGUCUCUGCAAAAUCGAAAGAUGACGUAUAGGGGCUGACGCCUGCCCGGUGCUGGAAGGUUAAGAGGAGAGGUUAGCCGCAAGGCGAAGCUUUGAAUUGAAGCCCCAGUAAACGGCGGCCGUAACUAUAACGGUCCUAAGGUAGCGAAAUUCCUUGUCGGGUAAGUUCCGACCCGCACGAAAGGCGUAACGAUCUGGGCACUGUCUCAACGAGAGACUCGGUGAAAUUAUAGUACCUGUGAAGAUGCAGGUUACCCGCGACAGGACGGAAAGACCCCAUGGAGCUUUACUGUAGUUUGAUAUUGAGUGUUUGUGUCACAUGUACAGGAUAGGUAGGAGCUGAAGAAUCCGGGACGCCAGUUUCGGAGGAGGCAACGGUGGGAUACUACCCUUGUGACAUGACCACUCUAACCCGCACCCCUUACCGGGGUGGGAGACAGUGUCAGACGGGCAGUUUGACUGGGGCGGUCGCCUCCUAAAAUGUAACGGAGGCGCCCAAAGGUUCCCUCAGAAUGGUUGGAAAUCAUUCGUAGAGUGUAAAGGCAGAAGGGAGCUUGACUGCGAGACCAACAAGUCGAGCAGGGACGAAAGUCGGGCUUAGUGAUCCGGUGGUACCGUAUGGAAGGGCCAUCGCUCAACGGAUAAAAGCUACCCUGGGGAUAACAGGCUUAUCUCCCCCAAGAGUUCACAUCGACGGGGAGGUUUGGCACCUCGAUGUCGGCUCAUCGCAUCCUGGGGCUGAAGUCGGUCCCAAGGGUUGGGCUGUUCGCCCAUUAAAGCGGUACGCGAGCUGGGUUCAGAACGUCGUGAGACAGUUCGGUCCCUAUCCGUCGCGGGCGUUGGAAAUUUGAGAGGAGCUGUCCUUAGUACGAGAGGACCGGGAUGGACACACCGCUGGUGUACCAGUUGUUCUGCCAAGAGCAUCGCUGGGUAGCUAUGUGUGGACGGGAUAAACGCUGAAAGCAUCUAAGCGUGAAGCCCCCCUCGAGAUGAGAUUUCCCAUCAUUUUAAAUGAGUAAGACCCCUGAGAGACGAUCAGGUAGAUAGGCUAGAAGUGGAAGUGCCGCGAGGCAUGGAGCGGACUAGUACUAAUCGGUCGAGGACUUAACC